GACGUCUGUUAUGCAUGUUACAAAUUCAUGAAACCAAUAUUCAGCGAUCCGACCGCUGCGCCGCCAGUUUCCCUGUAAUACUGCGGCUACCUGCAUGAGGGACGGACGUCUGUUAUGCAUGUUACAAAUUCAUGAAACCAAUAUUCAGCGAUCCGACCGCUGCGCCGCCAGUUUCCCUGUAAUACUGCGGCUACCUGCAUGAGGGACGGACGUCUGUUAUGCAUGUUACAAAUUCAUGAAACCAAUAUUCAGCGAUCCGACCGCUGCGCCGCCAGUUUCCCUGUAAUACUGCGGCUACCUGCAUGAGGGACGGACGUCUGUUAUGCAUGUUACAAAUUCAUGAAACCAAUAUUCAGCGAUCCGACCGCUGCGCCGCCAGUUUCCCUGUAAUACUGCGGCUACCUGCAUGAGGGACGGACGUCUGUUAUGCAUGUUACAAAUUCAUGAAACCAAUAUUCAGCGAUCCGACCGCUGCGCCGCCAGUUUCCCUGUAAUACUGCGGCUACCUGCAUGAGGGACGGACGUCUGUUAUGCAUGUUACAAAUUCAUGAAACCAAUAUUCAGCGAUCCGACCGCUGCGCCGCCAGUUUCCCUGUAAUACUGCGGCUACCUGCAUGAGGGACGGACGUCUGUUAUGCAUGUUACAAAUUCAUGAAACCAAUAUUCAGCGAUCCGACCGCUGCGCCGCCAGUUUCCCUGUAAUACUGCGGCUACCUGCAUGAGGGACGGACGUCUGUUAUGCAUGUUACAAAUUCAUGAAACCAAUAUUCAGCGAUCCGACCGCUGCGCCGCCAGUUUCCCUGUAAUACUGCGGCUACCUGCAUGAGGGACGGACGUCUGUUAUGCAUGUUACAAAUUCAUGAAACCAAUAUUCAGCGAUCCGACCGCUGCGCCGCCAGUUUCCCUGUAAGAUUUCUUUUUAUUUAAUUAAAAUUUUCGUAACAUACAUGAAUGAAUUCCAUCGGAUAUUUUUUAGGAUAAUUCAUUUCGGUUCAUAUUUUUUUUUAAUUUAAAUUUUCGUUACAUACCUGAUUAGGUUUCAUCACAGUUUUUUGCUAUAAUUUUUGUUUAACACCUAACACUUCUUUUGAGUAUCAUUUUCUUUUUCAUAACUAACAGUUCAUUACAGUAAUAUUUUUAUGUAUGUAUACUUUU